rnacentral:lncRNA from 1 species
UUCAUAAAAUAAUCUUUUUGCUUCCUUGAGCUGCAUUUCACUGGUUUCAGCUUUGGCACGCCAACUGGACUCUGAGCCUUGUGUCUAAAAAUUAUGUUAGUUCAAAAUCUUUAAGAAGUGGACAUACGACAAUAUCAGAGCUGAUUUUGAGAAUAUUUUCCGGUUGCAUCAGCUGCUCUACCCCAUCAUCUUGAAUGCAAAUUCGAACAUCUGAAUUUAAGUACUCAUUUGUAAUCAUGCGCUUUAAAACUGGAAAAGAAAGUGAAGAGUUUGAAUAAAAUGAUAUCUUGUCGACCUUGCAUUGAAGAAAAGAGACCGGCGAAUAAUACUGAACGAGGCGGCGCAAAACUUGUCGAGAAACACUAUCCCAAACCAAAACAUUACCAUCCUUAUCACCACUAAUGAGUAGAGAAGCAUCAAAGGAAACAGUCAACGUGGUUAUUGGGGAUUGACACGAUAUAAUACUUGAUUCUCUACUGUCGUUAUAAUCUACAACUCGACCCAUACCUCCGAUGGCGUUUGGAAUAGUAGUAUUAUCAACAGACGUAACUCUUUUUUUCUCUUUAACGUUGUUAGAAAAAGUGGAUGAUCCUGUGUAUAAUGGAAUCCAUAUUAUUCCCUUUUCGUUACCAACGUAGACAACACGUUCGGAAGGAUCCACGGUCAUGCAACUGGGAGUUGAGGGAAGAGCAAUCGUUGUCAAAAGGUUUCCUGUAGAAACAUCCCAAAUCCUUAUUGUGUUGUCUUCCGAAGCCGUGUAAAGUCGACCACUAACGAUGGGACCAGGGCCAAUUUCCAUAGACACGAUAGAACGCUUAUGACCAGAGAAAUGAGAAAUCGCUUUAACUGAACUAUUACUUGUUUCAAAAGUAGAGUUUUGGUCUACCAAAGUGCUUAUCAACCAAGCGAAUACAUCACCAUCGUUGGAAGCAGUGAAUAAAACCAUACCAUCAUUGGAAAAUUUCAAAAUGGUCAAAGGUUGGUAGUGUGCUCUGAAGAAAUAAAUAAGAGCACCGGAUUUUAAUGACCAUAUGUACAAAUUUCCUUUUUCUGUGCCUGCUGCCAGCCAAGAACCACAAGGACUCGAUUGCACACAAAUAAGUAUUUCAGGUAAAAUGAUUGAUUGAUCCAAAAUUUCCUACACUUGUAUUAGUUUUACUCAUUUAAAAUGUGUUUAGCUACUUUAGCUUGAAAUUAGCUGUAAAACUGCUGUUAUAAACGAAGUAAGCGUACAACUAAUGCAGUGCAGAGAGAACCUACCUUUCCAAAAUUGUGAAUAUUCAGCUGUGGACGGGUAUGUUGAGCAGAUAGCAAAUGAUUCAAAGUAGUACAUGUCGCGUUUUUAGCAGGUGAGCUUUGACGGAAUGUGCUCACCAGGGUACCGGUAUGUAGAUUGUGGCAUAGAACAUUACUUGGUUCACCCUCAAUAGCUUCACAGCCAGAAAGAAGCAGCUCCAUAAACCUUGAAAUGCGUGUUGAAUAAACGCAAAUCGCUGAACUGAAAUGUUAGCAACAAAGCGAAAUUUGCAAGAAAAGUCGUGUUGGACUACAUUGCUAAAUUAACCGAAUUCAACCGCAUUUCGUUAAAAUGACUGUUUACUCUAUUUUCUAGAGCAAGCAUAAUUGUAGACAAAUUAUCUAAGUCAGCUAUUUACGUUUCCAAAUUGAUAUAAUGGGCUGUUUGGAAACUAUAUUAGUUUUAUUUGUACCCAAUCAAACGUAUAUUGAUUUCGACUAUACUGUUGGAAAAUUUCUGAC